UACGUAGGGUGCAAGCGUUGUCCGGAAUUAUUGGGCGUAAAGAGCUCGUAGGCGGUUUGUCGCGUCUGCUGUGAAAACUCGGGGCUUAACCCCGGGCCUGCAGUGGGUACGGGCAGACUAGAGUGCGGUAGGGGAGACUGGAAUUCCUGGUGUAGCGGUGAAAUGCGCAGAUAUCAGGAGGAACACCGAUGGCGAAGGCAGCUCGCUGGGACGGUACUGACGCUGAGGCGCGAAAGCGUGGGGAGCAAACAGG
rnacentral:rRNA from 1 species